CAUCGGAGAGGUAGGUCAGGAACAUGGUCCCAGGACAGCAGGUGCCGGCUUGCCUGACCUCCUGUAGAUACAGGAGCCCCUGUAG
rnacentral:miRNA from 1 species